AUACGUAGGUGACAAGCGUUAUCCGGAUUUACUGGGCGUAAAGGGCGCGUAGGCGGUCUUGCAAGUCAGAAGUGAAAUUCCUGAGCUCAACUCGGGCGCUGCUUCUGAAACUGCCGGACUUGAGUGCUGGAGGGGAUAGCGGAAUUCCUAGUGGAGCGGUAAAAUGCGCAGAUAUUAGGAAGAACACCGGUGGCGAAGGCGGCUAUCUGGACAGUAACUGACGCUGAGGCGCGAAAGCGUGGGGAGCAAACAGGAUUAGAUCCCCUGGUAGUCCACGCCGUAAACGAUGAAUACUAGGUGUAGGGGGUAUCGACUCCCUCUGUGCCGCAGUUAACACAAUAAGUAUUCCGCCUGGGGAGUACGGCCGCAAGGUUGAAACUCAAAUGAAUUGACGGGG
rnacentral:rRNA from 1 species